rnacentral:snRNA from 1 species
GCGCCCGUUUCGGCAGCCCAAAUACUAAAAUCAGCACGAUCCAGAGAAGAUUAGCAAGGCCCCUGAGCAAGGACAACACGCAAAUUCGUGAAGCAGUUGUGUGUUUU